rnacentral:rRNA from 1 species
UACGUAGGGCGCAAGCGUUAUCCGGAAUUAUUGGGCAUAAAGAGCUCGUAGGCGGUUUGUCGCGUCUGCCGUGAAAGUCCGGGGCUCAACUCCGGAUCUGCGGUGGGUACGGGCAGACUAGAGUGAUGUAGGGGAGACUGGAAUUCCUGGUGUAGCGGUGAAAUGCGCAGAUAUCAGGAGGAACACCGAUGGCGAAGGCAGGUCUCUGGGCAUUAACUGACGCUGAGGAGCGAAAGCAUGGGGGAGCGAACAGG